rnacentral:sRNA from 1 species
AGCAUGUGAGGCAGCUCUAGGCAGUGGCCUUGUACCGGGUGGCAGUGCCCUCACCUGGGCCAGCCACUACCAGGAGAGACUGAACUCCGAACAGAGCUGCCUCAAUGAGUGGACGGCUAUGGCCGACCUGGAGUCUCUGCGGCCUCCCAGCGCCGAGCCUGGCCGGUCAGUGUGUGGAGGGGAGGGACUGGGUGGAGGGAAGGCAGGAUAAUGCAGUGGCGGGCAUGGUGGAGAGGGGAAAGGGCCCCUUGACUGAGGGGCUCUGCUCCCAGGUCCUCAGAACAGGAGCAGAUGGAGCAGGCGAUCCGUGCUGAGCUGUGGAAAGUGUUGGAUGCCAGUGACCUGGAGAGUGUCACUUCCAAAGAGAUCCGCCAGGCUCUGGAGCUGCGCCUGGGGCUCCCCCUCCAGCAGUACCGUGACUUCAUCGACAACCAGAUGCUGCUGCUGGUGGCACAGCGGGACCGAGCCUCCCGCAUCUUCCCCCACCUCUACCUGGGCUCAGAGUGGAACGCAGCAAACCUGGAGGAGCUGCAGAGGAACAGGGUCACCCACAUCUUGAACAUGGCCCGGGAGAUUGACAACUUCUACCCUGAGCGCUUCACCUACCACAAUGUGCGCCUCUGGGAUGAGGAGUCGGCCCAGCUGCUGCCACACUGGAAGGAGACGCACCGC